GCAUGUUUUUCUUCUUAUCUCUGAGGUUCUGAUUUUGCUUAAUAUACUGAUUGUAUCUUCACCAGUUUUUUCAUUUUAAAAACCUACGUAUUAAAGGAAGAUAAUAUUAUAGAGGAAGAGACCACUACAGAGGAAUGUCUAAUGUUGACAUAUGGGAGAAGAGCACAUUAGGUAACAUUUACUAAAAGAGAUGAUAUUUAGUAUUUCCUAACUCCCUGAAUAGACAGCAACAUUAUUUAAACCUGUUCACAAACUAGUAAAAUUUAUAGUCCUCCCCUUACAUCAACUUAUAGCCAAGCAUCUUCCCCACAUCUACAUAUAGAGCCUUACAUCUCCCCCACACAUCAAAAUUCACACCACACAGUAUGAUUUUCCAGAGUUAUGUAAAACUCAAA
rnacentral:lncRNA from 1 species